GUGUUGGGUAGAGGUGUUACAGGUUAUCUGGUUGUUGGGUAGAGGUGUUAGAAGUGUUACAGGUUCUCUGGUGUGUUGGGUAGAAGUGUUACAGGUUCUCUGGGUGUUGGGUCGAGGUGUUACAGGUUCUCUGGUGUGUUGGGUAGAGGUGUUACAGGUUCUCUGGUGUGUUGGGUCGAGGUGUUACAGGUUCUCGGUGUGUUGGGUAGAGGUGUUACAGGUUCUCUGGUGUGUUGGGUAGAGGGUGUUACAGGUUCUCUGGUGUGUUGGGUAGAGGUGUUACAGGUUCUCUGGUGUGUUGGGUAAGGUGUUACAGGUUCUCUGGUGUGUGGGUAGAGGUGUUACAGGUUCUCUGGUGUGUUGGGUAGAGGUGUUACAGGUUCUCUGGUGUGUUGGGUAGAGGUGUUAGAAGUGUUACAGGUUUUUUCUGGUGUGUUGGUAGAGGUGUUAGAAGUGUUACAGGUUCUCUGGUGUGUUGGGUAGAAGUGUUACAGGUUCUCUGGUGUGUUGGGUAGAGGUGUUACAGGUUCUCUGGUGUGUUGGGUAGAGGUGUUAGAAGUGUUACAGGUUCUCUGGUGUGUUGGGUAGAGGUGUUAGAAGUGUUACAGGUUCUCUGGUGUGU